rnacentral:rRNA from 1 species
AGGGAGUGGCGGACGGGUGAGUAACACGUGGGUCAUCUCCCUUGAGGUGAGGAAUACCGGCGAGAAAUCGCCGACAAGACCGCAUAGGAUUGGCAACAAUCAAAGUUGUGCUUCGCGAGAAGUGCGACGCCCCAAGAUGAGCUCGCGCCCGAUUAGCUAGUUGGUGAGGUAAUGGCUCACCAAGGCGACCAUCGGUAGCUGGCCUGAGAGGAUGAUCAGCCACACUGGGAUUGAGAACGGCCCAGACUCCUACGGGGGGCAGCAGUGAGGAAUUUUCCGCAAUGGACGCAAGUCUGACGGAGCAACGCCGCGUGCAGGAUGACGGCCUUCGGGUUGUAAACUGCUUUUCUGAGAGACGAGCAAGGACGGUAUCUCAGGAAGAAGCCCCGGCUAACUACGUGCCAGCAGCCGCGGUAAUACGUAGGGGGCAAGCGUUGUCCGGAGUUACUGGGCGUAAAGCGCUCGCAGGCGGUGAUGUACGUAGAGGGUUCCAGCCAGCGGCUUAACCGCUGGAGUGCUCGCUAAACGGCAUGACUUGAGGGCUAGAGAGGGACAUGGAACUCCGGGUGGAGUGGUGAAAUGCGUAGAGAUCCGGAAGAACACCAAAGGCGAAGGCAGUGUCCUGGCUAGUACCUGACGCUAAGGAGCGAGAGCUAGGGGAGCGAACAGGAUUAGAUACCCUGGUAGUCCUAGCCGUAAACGAUGACCACUAGGCGUGGGAGGUAUCGAC